GCAGUCGAGCGCAGGAGCUGACGGAACUCUUCGGAGGGAAGGCAGUGGAAUGAGCGGCGGACGGGUGAGUAACACGUAAGGAACCUGCCUCAAGGAUUGGGAUAACUCCGAGAAAUCGGAGCUAAUACCGGAUAGUUCAACGGACCGCAUGGUCCGCUGAUGAAAGGCGCUUCGGCGUCACCUUGAGAUGGCCUUGCGGUGCAUUAGCUAGUUGGUGGGGUAACGGCCCACCAAGGCGACGAUGCAUAGCCGACCUGAGAGGGUGAUCGGCCACACUGGGACUGAGACACGGCCCAGACUCCUACGGGAGGCAGCAGUAGGGAAUCUUCCACAAUGGACGAAAGUCUGAUGGAGCAACGCCGCGUGAGUGAUGAAGGUUUUCGGAUCGUAAAACUCUGUUGUAAGGGAAGAACACGUACGAGAGGAAAUGCUCGUACCUUGACGGUACCUUACGAGAAAGCCACGGCUAACUACGUGCCAGCAGCCGCGGUAAUACGUAGGUGGCAAGCGUUGUCCGGAAUUAUUGGGCGUAAGCGCGCGCAGGCGGCCUUUUAAGUCUGAUGUGAAAGCCCCCGGCUCAACCGGGGAGGGCCAUUGGAAACUGGAAGGCUUGAGUACAGAAGAGAAGAGUGAAUUCCACGUGUAGCGGUGAAAUGCGUAGAGAUGUGGAGGACACCAGUGGCGAAGGCGACUCUUUGGUCUGUAACUGACGCUGAGCGCGAAAGCGUGGGGAGCA
rnacentral:rRNA from 1 species